rnacentral:rRNA from 1 species
AUUGAACGCUAGCGGGACGCUUUACACAUGCAAGUCGAACGGAAUGGCGGACGGGUGAGUAAUAUAUCGGACCGUGCCCAGUAGCGGGGGAUAACUACUCGAAAGAGUGGCUAAUACCGCAUAAUAUUGACGCGGCCGAUAUCGGAAUAGCGAGUGGUUGGGGUAAAGGAUCACCAAGGCAACCAUCCGGAGCUGGUUUGAGAGGCCGACCAUCCCCACUGGGACUGAGACACGGCCCAGACUCCUACGGGAGUCAGCAGUGGGUAAUUUUGGACAAUGGGGGAAACCCUGAUCCAGCCAUCCCGCGUGUAUGAUGAAGGCCUUCGGGUUGUAAAGUACUUUUGGCAGAGAAGCGGUAUCUGCAGAAUAAGCACCGGCUAACUACGUGCCAGCAGCCGCGGUAAUAC